rnacentral:lncRNA from 1 species
AACGAUCCCACCUUCCAGGUGAUCGGAACUAGUCAUCUACUAUUAUGUAUCCCAUUCAUUCAAGACAUCCCCUCUCUUAGUAUGAUUCAAAAGCUGCGGUUGGAGAGGAGGACUGGAAAUCUAAUGAAUAUUGCUCUUAAUUCUAAUAAAAGUAGUAUGGCGAAUCAUUUGCCCACUCCAAGAUCAUUAAACCCCUCUUUCUCAGUGACUCGCUGCAAAAGCUGUAGUUGGAAUGGAUCGGUGGGUCAAAGCUGCUUCGCUUCGCAUGUGCUCAUAACCAUUCAUGUAACAGGAUCGUUAGCACUCAACCUUCGUCACCGUCAGCAUUUGGUACUCUCUCGAUAGCUUCAAUAGUUCACUGAAAGCCUUUGGUGUAAUGAACCGCAAGCCCUUCAGAAAGAAAGACAAAAUAAGAAAG